rnacentral:rRNA from 1 species
UGAGGAAUAUUGGUCAAUGGGCGGGAGCCUGAACCAGCCAAGCCGCGUGAGGGAAGAAGGCGCUCAGCGUCGUAAACCUCUUAGCCGGGAACAAAGAGCUUCUCGUGAAGGAGCGUUGAGCGUACCCGGAGAAUAAGCAUCGGCUAACUCCGUGCCAGCAGCCGCGGUAAUACGGAGGAUGCGAGCGUUAUCCGGAUUUAUUGGGUUUAGAGGGUACGCAGGCGGACGCGCAAGUCUGCGGUCAAAUUCCGGGGCUCAACCCCGGACCGCCGUGGAAACUGUGCGACUAGAGUGGGCGAGAGGCAUGCGGAAUGCGCGGUGUAGCGGUGAAAUGCUUAGAGAUCGCGCAGAACUCCGAUUGCGAAGGCAGCAUGCCGGCGCCUUACUGACGCUCAUGCACGAAAGCGUGGGGAUCGAACAGGAUUAGAUACC